rnacentral:rRNA from 1 species
CCCMCCAAGGCUUCGACGGGUAGCCGGCCUGAGAGGGUGACCGGCCACACUGGGACUGAGGGAGGCAGCAGUGGGGAAUAUUGGACAAUGGGCGAAAGCCWGAUSCAGCAACGCCGCGUGAGGGAUGACGGCCUUCGGGUUGUAAACCUCUUUCAGCGCRGACGAAGCGWAAGUGACGGUAUGCGCAGAAGAAGCACCGGCCAACUACGUGCCAGCAGCCGCGGUAAUACGUAGGGUGCGAGCGUUGUCCGGAAUUAUUGGGCGUAAAGGGCUYGUAGGCGGUCUGUCGCGUCAGGAGUGAAAACUCGGGGCUCAACCCCGAGCCUGCUUCUGAUACGGGCAGACUAGAGGUAUGCAGGGGAGAACGGAAUUCCUGGUGUAGCGGUGAAAUGCGCAGAUWUCAGGAGGAACACCGGUGGCGAAGGCGGKUCUCUGGGCAUUWCCUGACGCUGAGGAGCGAAAGUGUGGGGAGCGAACAGGAUUAGAUACCCUGGUAGUCCACACCGUAAACGUUGGGCGCUAGGUGUGGGGCUCAUUCCACGAKUUCCGUGCCGCAGCUAACGCAUUAAGCGCCCCGCCUGGGGAGUACGG